rnacentral:tRNA from 1 species
UCCCUGGAGGACUAGUGGUUAGGCCACAGCGCUCUCACCGCUGCUGAUUCGGGUUCGAUUCCCGGCCAGGGAA